rnacentral:sRNA from 1 species
CAGAUUCCCACUAGGGGAAGGUGAGAACCUUCGACCAAGGUUCGACAAAACCGGUACGGUUUUGAGCAAUGCGCAGCAUUGACCCGCAGGGCGAGGAGCGAAGCGACGAGUUAUCCUUCCCCCACCACCA